rnacentral:rRNA from 1 species
AGUGAACGCUGGCGGCGUGCUUAACACAUGCAAGUCGAACGAGAACGGAAUAUAGCUUGCUAUAUUUGUCAGCUAAGUGGCGCACGGGUGAGUAAUGUAUAGAUAACCUGCCCUUAAGAAAGGAAUAACAGUUGGAAACGACUGCUAAUGCCCUAUAUGCCUUCAAUACAUAAGUAUGCAAGGGAAACGCUUUAGUGCUUAAGGAUGGGUCUGUAUGGUAUCAGCUUGUUGGUGAGGUAAUGGCUCACCAAGGCUAUGACGCCUAACUGGUUUGAGAGGAUGAUCAGUCACACUGGAACUGAGACGCGGUCCAGACUCCUACGGGAGGCAGCAGUGGGGAAUAUUGCACAAUGGACGAAAGUCUGAUGCAGCAACGCCGCGUGGAGGAUGACACAUUUCGGUGCGUAAACUCCUUUUAUAUAGGAAGAUAAUGACGGUACUAUAUGAAUAAGCACCGGCUAACUCCGUGCCAGCAGCCGCAUAA